CUGAACAUCUACUUAGUGGUUAUAAAAUAUUUGCUGCUGAAAGCCACAGAGCAUUGAUAAACAGAUCCUGGACAGCUGAGUUAUUGCAAUCUACUUAACAUGAGGAGAACAAAUUAUUAUGCUUUACUUUAACACAUGCAGAAAAGGAUGGAUUCAUCUCAUUCAUGGGAAACAGAUGAGGAAUACAUUUUCUGUGAAUGCUAUUUCAAAAAUUGUCUCCCUUUAUCCAUGAGGGACAUCUUCCAAGGCCCCCAGUGGAUGUCUGAAACCGCAGCAUACUUUUGUCCAUAAAGCAAAAUCCGAAGAUUAGUGUUAAGAAACAGGAUUUGGAACUCUCAGAACAAGGCCAUUGGGGGUGGAGAUUUCUUACCUAUGGCUUAAAGAGGUGGGUGACAGAAAUGGCUCAUUCAACCAUAGAUGGUUUAAAAUAGCAUUUCAAUGGUUAAUCAUCAGCAGAAUAGACAAUUCGAGAAACAUUCUAAAAGGAACUUUGUGGAUUGGGUUCUUUGACCAUUAUAGUAUUUCCUCUUCUAACAUUCCUUUCCCUUUCAUCUUUAUUUCCCACUUAGUUUGCUUUUCAGUUAAAGGCAGUCAGUGAAAGUGUCACUCAAUAUCAGAGCAGCACAUUGGAGUAGAAAAGCAACAUGGGCUUUGAAGAUGUAGGUGCUGUAUUUGAGUUUUCAGUGAUCU
rnacentral:lncRNA from 10 species